GUUUAUAUAGCUCAGUAGGUAGAGCAGAGGAUUGAAAAUCCUUGUGUCGGUGGUUCAAAUCCACUUUUAAACG
rnacentral:tRNA from 1 species